GACGAACGCUGGCGGCGCGCCUAACACAUGCAAGUCGAACGGAGCGCACCGACGGAAGCCUUCGGGUGGAAGAUGGUGUUGCUUAGUGGCGAACGGGUGAGUAACACGUGAGCAACCUGCCCUAAAGUGGGGGACAACAUCUGGAAACGGAUGCUAAUACCGCAUAAGACCACGAGGUCGCAUGACCUCGAGGCCAAAGGAUUUAUUCGCUUUAGGAUGGGCUCGCGCCUGAUUAGAUAGUUGGUGGGGUAAUGGCUCACCAAGUCAACGAUCAGUAGCCGGACUGAGAGGUCGAUCGGCCACAUUGGGACUGAGAUACGGCCCAGACUCCUACGGGAGGCAGCAGUGGGGAAUAUUGGGCAAUGGGCGAAAGCCUGACCCAGCGACGCCGCGUGAGGGAAGAAGGUUUUAGGAUUGUAAACCUCUGUCUUCGGGGAAGAAGAAGUGACGGUACCCGAGGAGGAAGCCACGGCUAACUACGUGCCAGCCGCCGCGGUAAUAC
rnacentral:rRNA from 1 species